AGAACUUUGAUUCCUGGCUCAGGACGAACGCUGGCGGCGUGCCUAAUACAUGCAAGUCGAGCGAGCUGAAUUCAAAGAUUCCUUCGGGAUGAUUUGUUGGACGCUAGCGGCGGAUGGGUGAGUAACACGUGGGCAAUCUGCCCUAAAGACUGGGAUACCACUUGGAAACAGGUGCUAAUACCGGAUAACAACAUGAAUCGCAUGAUUCAAGUUUGAAAGGCGGCGCAAGCUGUCACUUUAGGAUGAGCCCGCGGCGCAUUAGCUAGUUGGUGGGGUAAAGGCCUACCAAGGCAAUGAUGCGUAGCCGAGUUGAGAGACUGAUCGGCCACAUUGGGACUGAGACACGGCCCAAACUCCUACGGGAGGCAGCAGUAGGGAAUCUUCCACAAUGGACGCAAGUCUGAUGGAGCAACGCCGCGUGAGUGAAGAAGGUUUUCGGAUCGUAAAGCUCUGUUGUUGGUGAAGAAGGAUAGAGGCAGUAACUGGUCUUUAUUUGACGGUAAUCAACCAGAAAGUCACGGCUAACUACGUGCCAGCAGCCGCGGUAAUACGUAGGUGGCAAGCGUUGUCCGGAUUUAUUGGGCGUAAAGCGAGCGCAGGCGGAAUGAUAAGUCUGAUGUGAAAGCCCACGGCUCAACCGUGGAACUGCAUCGG
rnacentral:rRNA from 2 species